rnacentral:rRNA from 1 species
UGCCAGCCGCCGCGGUAAUACGGAGGGGGUUAGCGUUGUUCGGAAUUACUGGGCGUAAAGCGCACGUAGGCGGACCAAAAAGUUGGGGGUGAAAUCCCGGGGCUCAACCCCGGAACUGCCUCCAAAACUGUUGGUCUAGAGUUCGAGAGAGGUGAGUGGAAUUCCGAGUGUAGAGGUGAAAUUCGUAGAUAUUCGGAGGAACACCAGUGGCGAAGGCGGCUCACUGGCUCGAUACUGACGCUGAGGUGCGAAAGUGUGGGGAGCAAACAGGAUUAGAAACCCCAGUAGUCC